AUGGUUUGGUUAAAUAAAAAAUAAAAAAAUCAAAAAAAAAAAUCUGUUCUUAUCAGUUUAAUAUCUGAUACGUCCCCCAUCGGGGGACUACAUAUUAAAUGGAUUUUUCGAACAGGGAGUCGGAAAUGGGGCUUGCUCCGUCCGCUCCACGCAUCGACCCGGUAUUGCAGUACCUCCGGGAAUGGUGCAACACUU
rnacentral:snRNA from 1 species